AGGGAAGUCCUCGUGUUGCA
rnacentral:siRNA from 1 species